rnacentral:tRNA from 1 species
GGUAAAGUAAGCUAAUUAAACUAUUGGGUUCAUACCCCAAUUAUAGAAAUUAAUUAUUUCUCUCUACUU